GUCGAACGAGAAGAGAUGAGAAGCUUGCUUCUUAUUGAUUCGAGUGGCAAACGGGUGAGUAACGCGUAAGCAACCUGCCCUCUAGAUGGGGACAACAGCUGGAAACGGCUGCUAAUACCGAAUACGUUCUUUCUGUCGCAUGGCAGAAGGAAGAAAGGGAGGCUCUUCGGAGCUUUCGCUGGAGGAGGGGCUUGCGUCUGAUUAGCUAGUUGGAGGGGUAACGGCCCACCAAGGCGACGAUCAGUAGCCGGUCUGAGAGGAUGAACGGCCACAUUGGGACUGAGACACGGCCCAGACUCCUACGGGAGGCAGCAGUGGGGAAUCUUCCGCAAUGGACGAAAGUCUGACGGAGCAACGCCGCGUGAACGAUGACGGCCUUCGGGUCGUAAAGUUCUGUUAUACGGGACGAAUGGUACGACGGUCAAUACCCGUCGUAAGUGACGGUACCGUAAGAGAAAGCCACGGCUAACUACGUGCCAGCAGCCGCGGUAAUACGUAGGUGGCAAGCGUUGUCCGGAAUUAUUGGGCGUAAAGGGCGCGCAGGCGGCGUCGUAAGUCGGUCUUAAAAGUGCGGGGCUUAACCCCGUGAGGGGACCGAAACUGCGAUGCUAGAGUAUCG
rnacentral:rRNA from 1 species